GGCCACUGUGAGCCCUGGGGUAACCUGUCCUCUGAUGUUCUGCACUCUGUUCCUCGAGUCACCGGCACUUUGAUGGCUGACUGGACCUGAUCAUGAGUGUUUGUAGGGUUAGAGAGGCUGAACCAUGAUGUACUGAAAGCCCUCGCUGUGGUUCAGCACUGUAGUGUGCGAUUCUUGCUGUGACCCAGCGCUGCUGUAGCACUGUUGCUGCCGUGGCUCGGCGCUGGGGCACAACCCCUUUCCCUUUGCGGUACUGAAAGGAUUGAAAGAAGAGGUCAUGGCGCUGUCAUGCUCUGGGGGAGAAUUUUACUUCUCACAUGGAAACUGCACUUUUUGCUAAAUCCUUUGCAUUUUGAUGUUCACUUAGUGUCCAGCCCUUUAGGAUGGGCUGGCCAGGGUAGGUUGGCCCCCUGGACUCAACUUCACUGGGGAACUUGACGCUGCAGUUGUGAAUCAGGGAAGCCAUGCUGUCUCCAGGUAUGGGGUGAAGCUGAACAUGGGCUCAUUAUUUCCAAAUGCCCUGUCUGGUCUGCUCACUAGGAUGUGCUGACUUUGGGCACUA
rnacentral:lncRNA from 1 species